rnacentral:rRNA from 1 species
UCCGUAGGCGGGCAAUUAAGUCAGAGGUGAAAUCCCACAGCUCAACUGUGGAACUGCCUUUGAUACUGGUUGUCUUGAGUUAUAGUGAAGUAGAUAGAAUAUGUAGUGUAGCGGUGAAAUGCAUAGAUAUUACAUAGAAUACCGAUUGCGAAGGCAGUCUACUAACUGUAUACUGACGCUAAGGGACGAAAGCGUGGGGAGCGAACAGGAUUAGAUACCCUGGUAGUC